rnacentral:lncRNA from 1 species
UCCAAAUAGAGUGAACCUCUCUCUCUGGGGCCCUGUUGGUCCCACAUUUAUCAGUGCCCUCUCUCGGACUUGAGAAUGGGCUGGAGGAGUUCGGCUCCUCUUAAAGCAAAACACUUUUCACAAAAGAAAUGAAAAAAAUAUACAGCCAAGAAAGACCCCCUGACAAGUGAAGAGAGGCAUCGAGCAAGUCAAAUAAUGAAGGGAACUUGGCAGGAGUCUCUGACAGUGAUAGAUUCAAAAGCGUCUGGCACCCAUUGUCAGAGUUGUGGCUGCAGAGGCGCAAGCUCUUCAUCUACAAAGCUGAGGACCAUGAGGCUAAGGAACUACCAAAAGGCCCGAAGCUAGCAGAACCCAAGAAGAGGCCAGUCUACCUGGUGAUUGUUCGGCUCUCUGAUCUCUUCACCAGAACUUUCAAAAUUUCCUGCAGAGAGGAGAGCGCAAACAUCUUGUUUGGGAAAGACUCUUGCAGCUGUGCAAAUACAGUCUUCUUGAACAUUAAUCCAUCUGUCAGUUCUCAAGAAAAUGUGUGUGAUCAAAGAAGUUUGAGAACAUCUGCAACAAAUAGAACCUUCACUCCCUGAAUGUGUAUGUGAAACCAGCAUGUCAGGUGAACACACACGGGUACACACGUGUGCCCGAUAAUAAGGUGCCAUAAUAUAAAGAUUGGAUGGUUAUCUCUUCCCCACUCGCCCUCAUCCCUUGCUCUACUUAUCUCUUUUUUUCUCAGCAGUGUAUGCAUAAGGACUAGGGAUAUUGGAAGCUAACGAUGAUGAGUGUGGAUGGCUGGAGAGUAAACAGAAUUGUCACUGGAAAAAAGUGAUUAGGGUCAAUUAUAGUGCAUCUCAUGACUCCUUAACAAGAGCUGGCAUGAUUUUAUAAUUCCAUGUAGUUUUCUAGAUAAAGUCAGUGAAAAUAUACUCCACAAAGGAAAUUCAGGAACCUGGUUAUAGAAGAA